rnacentral:rRNA from 1 species
CAAUAGCGUAUAUUAAUGUUGUUGCAGUUAAAAAGCUCGUAGUUGGAUUCCUGACCUGGGGUAGCCGGUCCGCCUUGCAAAAGGUGCGCACUGAGCGGCCUCGGUCAUCCUUGAGAAGAGCGGUCCUGGCAUUCAGUUGUCGGGGUCGGGAUUCUCGACGUUUACUGUGAAAAAAUCAGAGUGUUCAACGCAGGCUUACGCCUUGAAUACAUUAGCAUGGAAUAAUGAGAUAGGACCUUGGCGGUCUAUUUUGUUGGUUUGCACGCCGAGGUAAUGAUUAAAAGGGACGGUUGGGGUUCUUCGUAUUCAAUUGUCAGAGGUGAAAUUCUUGGAUUUAUGGAAGACGAACUGCUGCGAAAGCGUCGAACAAGGACGUUCUCAUUAA